UGCUCUUCCUCUGUUUUCUCCUGAUGCUCGGCGACACUGUGGACACCACCUGUUUCUCAACAGCUGUUAACAUUGCAUGACUCAAAAAGACAAAACAAAAGAAAAAACAAAGAAACUUGGCAUUUUUUGUGCUGUUACUCCACAGCAGACAAACGGGAUGCGACUCCAUCCAGUCAGGAAUUCCUCCUCUGCAGCUCCUUCUGGGUUUUCUCCCAGUUUUCCCCACUCGCUUCGAGGGUCUAAGGACAGAGGGUCGAACGAGUGAUGUAAAUCAAACUGACUUGACCUCCUUUGUGGAUGACUGCUGUUGAAGUUCCCAGAGUUGGUGUUCAGCGGCCAUUUAAAGCUUCGGCCGUCACUGAAACUUCUGAAAACGUUCAAGAAGCACAUGAUGAAUUUCAUGCACAAGCAGCAUAUUUUCUCAUGAACAUGUGAUGGAGCAUACGGAGUGAGUCAAGCACAGCACCGAACUGCAGCAGCGAGCAGCGAGCAGAGGAAGAACGGCGACUGAACAUGUCGGCUAACCGCACAGAUGAGCUCCAAACCCCGAACACGAGCGAGGACGAGAAGCGAUGAAGUUAAUUUGGAAGGCGGAGGCUCACUCGCUUUGCGUGGACACACACUGUCUCAUUCAGGUUAUUAUUAUUAUGGGAAAUUAAAGUGCUGAAUGAACUGAUCGAGUUGUUUCUCACAUCAUGUUGCUGAACUUUGUGUCAGAGGCCUGAAAAAGAAGUUUUUCCCUCCAGAGAACAGUUUAGCAGCGAGAGGAAACAAUACGAACAAUUAAGAGUUUGAAUUGGUUAAACAUGUUUUUUAUUUUUUAUUGUAUGGAAGUUAUCUCUCUCCAUCAUCCAGUUUCCAUCCCUGCCAAGUGGCUUCCUGUCGCAUUGUGUCCUGGACGUGUGCGUCAGCGCCGUGUUGUGUGACUUUCAACACCUCUUCAUCGAGUCAACCUGACGGUGCACCUGCUGUGGCAGCACAACAGAAACUCAGAAGUGAACGACCUCCACCCGUAUGAUACAAUAAGUGAAAUCUGAAAUCUUUUUUAACGGGCCUGCACUGAAAUUCACAGAAAAACUAAAGCACACAUUUUGCAGAAAUCCUUCAGUGGUGGACACACUGUCUUCACAUCAAGCUCUCCUAAAAAGUGUGUGUAGUCUUCCUUUGAUAAUUUGGUCAGAAAUGAAGACGUUGGGAUUGUGUAGAUUAAAAGGAGGCCAGGCAUUACGGGGUUACGCAGCGGCGUCCCAGCAGCCUCGUUAGCUCACAGAGACAUCCGAAUCUCCACGUCCUUCACUGGGCCUCUUCCACAAUCCGACCUCUGACACUUUGUUUUCUGCUCUGAAUACACAGCAUUUACACACAGUCGCAUUUUGUCACGUGUGUGUGUGUUCAGUUAUACUGAAAAUGUGGAGGCUGAGUAACAUUCAGAACAGUCCAGGAUAACAUACACAAAUAAUCAGCCUGACCGGUGCACACAGCAACACGCAGGA